rnacentral:tRNA from 1 species
GGUAGUCGAGAGCUGGUCGCUCAAACGCGUCUGAUAAGCGCGUGGCGCUGCGUUCGAUUCGCAGGGCUAUCAC